GACGAACGCUGGCGGCGUGCUUAACACAUGCAAGUCGAACGGAAAGGCCCUGCUUUUGUGGGGUGCUCGAGUGGCGAACGGGUGAGUAACACGUGAGUAACCUGCCCUUGACUUUGGGAUAACUUCAGGAAACUGGGGCUAAUACCGGAUAGGAGCUCCUGCUGCAUGGUGGGGGUUGGAAAGUUUCGGCGGCUGGGGAUGGACUCGCGGCUUAUCAGCUUGUUGGUGGGGUAGUGGAUUACCAAGGCUUUGACGGGUAGCCGGCCUGAGAGGGUGACCGGCCACAUUGGGACUGAGAUACGGCCCAGAGUCCAACGGGAGGCAGCAGUGGGGAAUAUUGCACAAUGGGCGGAAGCCUGAUGCAGCGACGCCGCGUGCUGGAUGACGGCCUUCGGGUUGUAAACCGCUUUAGCCUGUGACGAAGCGUGAGUGACGGUAAUGGGUAAAGAAGCACCGGCUAACUACGUG
rnacentral:rRNA from 1 species